UUGAACAAUUUCUCAGGGUCAAUUAGACACGACUUAAUGAAAAGCCAGAGAAUUCUGUAUGAAUAUUUGACCCAGCAAUUCCACUUGUUUUUUAUGGUAUCAAUUUAAAAUGGAUCUUUAUGCAUUGACACAUGAAUUUUAUAUACCUUUAAAAAAUUACACGAAGUUGGUGGCAAUCAGAAUGUGGGUGCCGGAUUCAUUUUUGCUUAUUUACAGCACUGCCAGCAUGUACUAAAGUAUUCAAAAUAUGACCAAAUUUAAGCAACCUCAGAUAAUGGUUGCUGUUUCUCCCCUCCCUAACAAACCAUUUUCUGUUCUUGGGUACACAAUUGGACUACAUAUCCCAGCCUUCUUGCAGUUAGAUCACAUGACUGAGUUCUAGUAAUGAAUACAAUUUCUGGGACAGAGCUUUAAAGAAGGAGGUGUUCCACCUCCAAGCUCUCAUUUUUCUUUCACUGACUGGAGGCAGAUGAUGAAUUUGAAGCCCUGACAAAGAGAAGGCAAAAUCAGUUUGUGUCCCUGAGUUGCUAAGUGGAGAAGAAACGUCCACCAACCAGGAAACACCUGCCUCCAACUGUUAAUAGGUCUGUGAAAUGUGCUUUGUUUCUGGUCAGCAUGGACACCCGCUUUAAUAGUGGCUUCAGAUGAGGCACCUUGUGACAGAGGAGCUCUUCCCCUGCAGCAACCUUGAAGAUGUUGUGGAAGACAAUAGCCAUUCUUACUUCACUCUGAGGAUCACGAUGGCGUGCAAGGGUGUGCCAAGCACAUUGCUAUCUUUGGCCAUUCUCUCUCACAUUAGUACACCUGGAUGUGAAUGGCACGUUAUCUAUGUAAGCAGUGAUGGUCUCUAUCUGGUGGUAGAAAUGACAGAAUUACACACAAUCAGGACAGCUGAGAUUCCAUUUACUAGCUCAGUAAUCAGAGAAUAUGUAUGACAUCCCAGCAAAAAAUGUUGAACAUGUUCAGAUUUCAUCAUAUCAGCACCACAGUAUCAGUCUUACUGGGAGGUGCUCGCAUUCAGUUCCUGGCUACUGAAGAAAUUUUGCAGGAGUUCCAGAUAACUUACUUGUCCCAUAAUAAUGAAAACUAUUACAAUUAUGCUAAAGAAGAAUACUUAAUAACACAGUAAAAAUGUUUAUGAUGUCUUUUAAUUUCUAAAGCAUGUUAUAAAAGUAUUACAGUAUGAUCUCAUAUUUGUAAGUAAAAUAUAUAUUAAUUCAUUUAGCAAAUAAAUAUUAAGCCCCUACUAUGCACAUACCAAUAUAGAUAUUGGUAUUUGUGUGGGUGUGUGUUACAGCAGAUUUUAAUUUUCUUAUUUUGUAUUUUCUGAUUUAUCUACAAUGAAUUUGUAUUAAUUUGCUAACAAAACAUCACUAUUAAAAUAAAUUUUUUUUGAAUUAUAAGAAAAGGCUAACAUCAUAACAAUAAGGUUGUAUAGAAUAAACUGACAACACAGAAGUUA